GACGAACGCUGGCGGCGUGCCUAAUACAUGCAAGUAGGACGCAGUUGCGAACGGGUGAGUAACGCGUAGGUAACUACCUAUUAGAGGGGGAUAACUAUUGGAGACGAUAGCUAAUACCGCAUACUAGUAGAUGGACCUGCUUUGUAUUAGCUAGUAGGUCGGGUAAUGGCCUACCUAGGCAACGAUACAUAGCCGAGCUGGAUGGGAGAUCGGCCACACAGGAGCAAGGACAAGGCCCAGACUCCUACGGGAUGCAGCAGUAGGGAAUCUUCGGCAAUGGGGGGAACCCUGACCGGGCAACGCCGCGGGAGGUAAGAAGGUAUUCGGAUCGUAAAGCUCUGUUGUUAAGGGAGCGGUACCUAACCAGAAAGGGACGGCUAACUACGUGCCAGCAGCCGCGGUAAUAC
rnacentral:rRNA from 1 species